GAUGAACGCUGGCGGCGUGCCUAAUACAUGCAAGUCGAGCGAAUGGAUUAAGAGCUUGCUCUUAUGAAGUUAGCGGCGGACGGGUGAGUAACACGUGGGUAACCUGCCCAUAAGACUGGGAUAACUCCGGGAAACCCGGGCUAAUACCGGAUAACAUUUUGAACCGCAUGGUUCGAAAUGGAAAGGCGGCUUCGGAUGUCACUUAUGGAUGGAACCGCGUCGCAUUAGCUAGUUGGUGAGGUAACGGCUAAGCAAGGCAACGAUGCGUAGCCGACCUGAGACGGUGAUCGGCCACACUGGGACUGAGACACGGCCCAGACUCCUACGGGAGGCAGCAGUAGGGAAUCUUCCGCAAUGGACGAAAGUCUGACGGAGCAACGCCGCGUGAGUGAUGAAGGCUUUCGGGUCGUAAAACUCUGUUGUUAGGGAAGAACAAGUGCUAGUUGAAUAAGCUGGCACCUUGACGGUACCUAACCAGAAAGCCACGGCUAACUACGUGCCAGCCGCCGCUGUAA
rnacentral:rRNA from 1 species